AGCGGCCGGUCGGAUUAAAAGUAACCAGACUCGUCCAGAAAACUGCGUCCAGGAAGGAAGUGACAGAAGACGAAUGGGAAAAGGAGAACAGCUCACAGCGUUUGAAACAUCGCGUAAAAAAGACUGGGGGUGGUGGGGGCGGGGGGGAUUGAAGGAUACUGGGAGGGGAGGCGGGGGUGGUAGGGAAGACGGAGCACGAAUGGUUGGGGUUCUAAGCAGCACGUCCGAUGAAAUGUCUUUUGCCUCCUUUUUUCCCCCUUUAUUUAAUUUUGUCCUUGCCUUUGCUUCGCGCUGCCUUUUUCUCUCCGUCUCUCUCUCCCCCACAAUCCCAAACCGUUGACUCUUUCCUCGCGAGCUGGAGAAAUCAUCAGUUUCACUCUUGCAAAAGGGGGGCGGGACUAGACCUCGGAGCAUUUUAAUAAAACAAACAUACAGCAGCUCCCUCCUCACCCCUCCAGUCUCAACUAGAUUGAUAAAUUACUCCACUACACUACUUUAAUUAUGUAUAUGGUAUGCAGAAUAAAUCACUGAACAUCAGUACCUCAAUCAAGCACUUUUAAAUGAUAAUUGCAUCUUGGUGAAUCAAUCUUUCCAUUCCUGACAUUUUGCUAAUUUUAGUUUUACGGUGGGGUAAUAGCACAUGCCAUACGCAAACCUAAUGACAAUUCUUUAUUGCACGAAAUGAAGACAACACGGCGAGCUGCGGCUCCCUGCUCCUCUCGCGGCGCCUCUGCGGAGGACGCUCGGAGAGAACCUAGUCUCCCGCUGCGGCGCGCUCGCUUGCUCUCCGGGGACGCUGCGAGCCAGCCAGCAGGAAAGUCCUUCUAAAGUCGGGAUCUUUCCUCUGACCAAUAGGAGCGCGACCCUAAUAGUUGCUCUUGUGACUUUUCCCCCUUUUGGACACGCGUUAGCCACUUCUCUCUUCCACCGGUCGGUGCGCUCCUCCGUUACUCACGCGUAAAAACCACGGUCCAGGAUGUCUGCAGCACUCGAUUCCAGCGUGCUUUUCCUGCACGCCCAGAAGUCGCGGUUUUCACCCUGAGAGGUUGGAGCGCUAGAAAGCGAGCCGAAAGGUUUCUCUAAUGUUAGUAAUGUACGAAAUAAUAAAAUAAUUACCAGUAUUUGAGAUCUCGACUUCAUCGCGGGGCCAUGAACUUUCUAAUCAGUUUGGAAAUAUUUACCGAGGAAGCAGCUUCCUCGGAGUUCCCCCCCUCCCCCCACUCUAUCUUUUCCACACCUUACUGGACUUCAUCCAGGUCAUUAACAUGUAAACCAAACCAACUUCCCAAAUGCAUUAGGCUACCCUAGCCGAUAGCUGAUGACUUCACUUAUCCUGAAGAGUUUCAGCUGCACAGGAAGCAGAAAUAGAGACUGAUAAGGGAGGAUACUUAUGUUAAGGUUAAAGCAUGAUAAACACUUUUCCUUACAAAAAAAAAAAAAAAAGGCUUUAAUAUUUAGGCUACUAGAGAUUGGGCACCUCCCGCCCUAACCAACUGUUAAUAUAUACCAUGCCCAAUAAAGCCAAAGAUAAAAUACAUCAACUAGUAUAGAAUCAUGAAAAGACAAGAUUGCAUGCCAGUAGAAUUAUAGAUUACAUAAAAUGUUUAAACCAAACUAUUUUUUAAAAAAUAUUGUGAAAGCAAGAAGGGAAAAUUAAUAGAACAUGGAAUAUAUGAGAUUAGACAAUAGUAUAUUGAAAUAUCUAGCUAACUAAAGAUUUCCUCACUUUAGAAAAUUCCUUUUAGCACUACGUUUAACCCAAUGACUAGUUGUAUUUCCUGUUAAGUUCAGCAAUAUGCCUCCAGAUGACUAUUUUAAUAUAUGAGGACAGUAUGGUUCAAAAAGCCUCCUGCUUCAAUGUAGGAGGUAUUUGAUGUGAGUAGCUUCUCUCAGAAGAGUGGCCUCAACAUUUAGGCAACUGUCCCAAGGCUUCACUUGAAAGGGGAAGGUUUAUUUUAUAGGCAAGUACAACUAGAUCUGAACAAUCUUCAAGUUCCAGCUCAUCAUUGUGACUAUCAGCAAAACUAAGACCAUUCCCUCCCUUUUAUUAUAGGAAUGCAUCACAAACUGUCACAAAGCAAAAACCAUCUGAAAUAGUAGUAUUUCUUGCAGAUUAGUAUUUACAAUGUAUUUUGUUUGCCGGUUUUUCAAAUGUUGAGUUUGCCAUUACCAUGAAUUCAUUUUAAUAAUAUGGCAGAGAACAUCUGUAUCAGGUUUCCAUUCAAAGUACAACUUCUCUGAAAAUCCAAAAAUUUAAAGGGCAAAGAUAUUUCGAAUACUAAGAUAUGUCUAUAUAUGGUGGUAAAAAUAAAAUUAAUUUUCUUCAAGAUUCACGAAGGUCCUGAAAAAGCAAAGCAUUUGAAGGACCAUCUAAGUUUAUUGCCAUAAUACCUAAAAUUAAUGCAGUGAGUUACAACAGUCUAUUUGACAUGAGCAAACACAUAGCCAAUACAUGAAUUUCAGCCCUGCUGUUUUUAAUGAAUUAUAGAGGGUAUUUCUGUUUACCACAGUACACUUCAGUUUUAGAUGUUCUUUCAAAAAGAAAUUAUUUUAUUUUACCUUUUCAUAUUUUAAAUAAUUAUUUAAUAAUACCCAUUAUAACAAACCCAUAAUUAUUAAUGAUACUGCAAGCAUUCAAAAAUAAGUAUAACCCCACACUGGAUAAUUUGAAAAUAAUUUGGAUCUGGAAUGUAUCACAGUUGGCCUUUUAAAAUACAGGAUUUUCCCCUCAGCAGAUUUAGCUUCUUAAUUAUGUGUGACCUAAGUUAAUAUUACCAUUAGUUUUCUUCCCAUGAGCCUUUACAGUUGAAGCAGAAGAGAUAUGAAGAAAUAUACAUUAGAAAAUCACCUGAGAUUUAAAAUUAUUCAUGAGUAAUCCACAAAGUAGUUAAUCCAGAGUGUGCUUUGUAUUCUUUAAAUACUUCUGGACUUUUGGUUUCUGUUUCUGUUUUUGUUUUUUCUUUAAAAUCAUCCUGAUCCUUGCCAUCUAAUGAUACUUGGUUAGGAUCAGACUAUUUUCUCAUGUAGGGAGGAGCUUGUACUAGGUGUCAGGAGACCUGGAUUCUCUAUCUAGUUCAAAAUUUGUGCCUUACUAAGGGAUUUGUCCUUUCUAGGCUUCAGUUCGCUUAUGUGUUAAAUGAGUUCUGUAACCUAUUCCAGUUCUAUCAUUGGAAAACAGAAAAUGUUUCUACCCUUUAAACCAAUUGGAAGGUAGGGUCUAUCCAGUUAAAUAAUAGGUGACAAUUCCUUUAAAAGAAAAUUAUGUCUGGGAUUGAUGUACUACUGUACCAGCUUUUAUUUUUUUCUAAUCACCAAAUAUUUCUCCUACAUUAAGUUGUAAAUGCUUUAUUGUUAAUGUAAAUAUAGAGUCACUUGUUUUUCCCUCAAAAGAAUUAUGUUUAGCAAUAUAUUUAAUUAAAGUGUCAUAGAAGUUACAGAGAGCAUGCUCCUCGGGAUUUUAACUCCAGGGAAAGCUAAUAUUGCAAUUUCUGUUCAGAGCUGCAUACCAUCUUACUCCAACCUCCUCUCUUCACUACUUCCCUACAUUAAAGCAGCGGUCCACUAAAGCCCUGUGCACUGGGUCUGCCUGCUUUUAAGCCUGGCCCACGCUGGGUGUAGCUCUUGAAGUGAGCUUUAAAAAUUAUUUUAAAGUGAACUGGGGCGGUUGCCACAGCAACCCACCCUGAGAUGAAGAAAGGCUAUAGAUUAAUGUACCCCUUAAGAUUAUUCAACUGUAUAGUAUUUGUUCCUCAGCCAGAAUACUUUUAACACAAACAUGAUAAGUGAACAUGGUGGUUUAGAAAAAUCUAAAAAGCAGUGAAACACAAAUUCCAAUAGCAUUACAUAUUUUAAUCUUUGUCUAAUUAUAGUAUUGAUGAUACACAGGACUUCCCAUGAAAUAGAUUAAUUUUAUAAGAUACAGUACUUGCAAAAGUAGGCCCUGAAAGAUGACAUGAUCUUUAAGCAAAAUGAUAUGUCAUUGCUUAUAAUAUAAAGUGUAUGGUGGUCAUUUAACUCUUUAUUAUUGUUAUACACGUCUAUUCUGUAAAUACCUAAGGCCAAGGAGUUUGGCAGUUUUACCUUUAUGGUAACUCUGUGGUAAAUGAUAAAAACAAAUGUGAGCACUCACCACAUACACUUCUUUACUGCCACAAUCAUUUGCCUUCCGUUCUUUACUUCAUCUCUUCAUAGAAGUUACUUCACAGUUUGCAACUCUUCUUUGGCACCUUCAAAUGUGGAAGUGCAAAACAGUAUAUAGUAUUUUGUUAAUGCUGAUAUGAAAAUACUUUCAAAUAGAUUUAUUUCUAAAACUUCUAAUCUGAAGUAACAAUAUUCUGAUUUUAAACCAAAGUGUUUUGAAUAUAAGACAACUGAAAUUGUCAUGCAUUGUGAUAAUAAUCUUUAACAUAAAUAGUGCCAAAUAUCUAAAUUUCAAAAAUUCACUAGGUGCAGCAUUAACCCAAGAAGAAUAUACAGCAUGUGGAAUGUCUGUGAUUGAGAAUUUGCAAUAUACAAAGGAUUUGUUAUUUCAAGACAAGGUUUACACAUAUCUAAGGAUUCUAUGUUUAUCUGUAUUUCUGUACCUUCAGUUUUAUAUCUGAUAGAGAAUUACAGAAGAAUGUCAAAUCCAUUAUAUCCGAAGCUAACACAAUUUGUCAAAUCGGGAAAUGUUUGCAAUGCAGUUGAGGUUACUGAAAGGGCUUAUUUUAUGCAUUGCCUAAAGGCCAAUUUAAAAUACUUUGGGAUUAGUGAUGUGUAUUCAGUACGGUUUAUAAAUUCUAUUACCAAUAAUACCUUAUUUUUCCAAGCAGUGUUUAACUAUACUGAGCACAGACAAAUGCUCCUGUGUUCUGAUUUCUGUUUUAGUCUGGCUUUCCAUGACUUUGUGCACACAAAUGAACCUUUCCUUGGCUUCAGACUGAGGCUAGUCCCAGAAAGAGAACCAGCCUUGAGACACAUCAGACCAGGAUGGUCAAUAUCUCUUUUCCCAUUUGUAAUAGCAGGAGGACUUUGCAUAGUGAAGAAUCAUUUAUAAAGCCUCUAUAUUUGGGUUGACAUCUCUGAGGUUUAUUUUUAAGUUGCUUCAGAGUCAAAGAGAAAUGAAAAAUUUUGGCCAGUUUUACUUUAUGGGUGUUAGUUGAGUUUAGGUUUUUAGGCUUAGGCCCACAGUGAGUGAGUCCAAACUUGGUCUUGUAGUCACUACCAAGUGAUUUGGUGAGUUCUCUUUCUUCCAGUUGUGCUUCAUUUUACAGUCUAUUAAGUGAGAAUCAUAAUACACAUCUCCCAGGGCCUAUUCACCUUAUAGAAAUGCAAUCUUCAUGAAAUAACAUCUGAAAGGUAUGGUAAGGUUUUUUUUUUUUUUUUAAACGACACUACAAAUUAUGAUACAUUUCUUUCUUUUCCUGUAAUCAGUAUGUCCAAAUAAGGCUUGAUCAGUAAUUUGCUUGCAAGUGUGUGGCUGAUUCAAAAAUAACCACAUGCAUGAAUAAAUUUAAUGCGACUUUACCUUUACUUACAAAAUUGUUAAAUGUUGUUCAUCAGAACAUUGAUUCUAUCCCAUUUCUUGAAAUAUCACAGAAACCUUCAAUUCAAGGAAUGGAUUUUCACACUUCCCCUUUUAACUGUUUCUUCUAGAUACCUUACUAUGUGUGUGCUUUUUCAUUUUAAAAAAUCUUUACCCGGGGUUGUGGUGGAAGUGGGGAUUAAAAAUCUCGUCCUGCGUUUUGGUGCCCACUUCUUUGUUUGGAAAGCAGAGCGCUGGGACUCAAUCCGGACGGCCCUCAAAGACCCAGACGAGGGACGCCUCUAGUUUGAGCAACUCACUCCGCUGAGUUAUUGAUUGCAGGCAGCAACAAUCCCUCCGGUUGAUUUGUGUGAAAAGUGAAUCCGCUCUGGCUGGGCGUUCAGCAGAGGCGCAACAGCUGCAACGCCAUCCAAUUAUUGCCGAUCCUCCCCUCCAACACUGCUCUCAUCACCUAUAUACUCUUCUCUCUGCCCGUCUCUGCUUCCCCCCCCUUCCCCCCCCCCUUUUCUCCCGGCCGACGGAGCUGAAGGGGCGGGGGUUCCUUCCUUGGAGUGUUUCUAGAGCUCGGAGGCUGCUGGUAGGGGGUGAGUGCGCCACGUGCGUGCGCCACGGGCGAGCAGGAGGCAGGCUCUGGGCCCUCCUGGGGACCUGCUGGACCUGCUGGACCUGGGUGCGACGAGUGGGCGGCCACGCUGGUUUGGCGCGGGGAAGGAAGGGGGUGUGCCGACUUGUAUUUAGUUGGGGGUUGUGGAAGUCACGGCUGGGGGAAAAGCGUCCGGUGGUUUGUUGGUAAAGAGGGUGCGUGAUGGGCUCUGGGGAAUGGAGGAGGGCGCAACGGCUGUGGGUGGACUGUGGAAACGGGCGGUGGCAGUGCCGGGGUAGUUGUCCUGCUGGUCUGGUUUUGGGAUCCUGGGCUGGAGAAAUGCGAUCCAAAAGAGCUCGGGAUGGGCUCAGAGCGACCCACGAAAAUACCAGGGGCCAAGUAAAAUGAACCCACCCUUUAACAGUGCACAAAGCGCUGGCACACGGUCCACGUCUGGUGACGCAGGCUGCCCGAAGCGCUCCAACCAUUUUGCAAACCUGGGAGAGCAAGAGGGGCUCUGCAGGUCUAGCCGCCGCCCCUGUCCCACUCUGGCCAGCCGGAGUUUUUCACCUGACAGACCAAUAGGAAAGAACACGGGCCCCAAACUGGAUUUUAUAGUCUGAGCUCUCAGCAUCUAAGGAAUUAUAUUUCAAAAAACAAAAGCCAACUCAUAGCUCUAUUAAGCUAACGCGUGUGCGAGUUUUGGCUAGGAAAAAGCCACAAAGUAAAGCAAGAAGUAGGGUAUUCAGGAUAAAACACACACUUUAAAGACAAAACAGAAAACUUCCUUUCCCCUUGUACCCCCUUUAUUUGUUAACACAGGGGAACGGUUCUGGGAUGUCUUACAAAAAUGCUGUCACUAAAUGCAGAUAUCUGUGCUGUUCUUUGACCUGUCUGGCAUUGUGGAAUACUCAAUUACAUCGAAGGUGUAAAAACGUUUAUGUUAUCAUGUUCUUGAAACAUUUAGCGGCUACCAAGAUGGUAGCUAUUUAAAUUAAUUAAAAUAAGAUAAAAUAAAAAUAAAUUCUGUCCCUCAGUUCCACUGGCCAUAUUUCAAGUGCUCAAUAGCCACAUGUGGCUAGUGGCUCCCUUACUGGACAGCGACAUGUCAAACGUUUCCAUCACUGCAUAAAGUUCUGCUGGAGAAUACUGCUAUAGAGUUCAAAAUGAAUGCUGGUUAAAAAAAGAAAGAAAGAAAGAAAUUACUUUAUGACUGAUACCAGCCACAUUUUAGGACACUCUUGGAGUUUCUGUUACUUGGCACUAGUGUGAGAAGCUUUAAAGUCAGACUUUCAGUAUCUUCCUGCUGAAAGAGACCUUGGGGAACACUUCACCCAGACACCUAAUUUUUUUAUAGGCAAGAGAAAUCAGGCCCAGAGAAGUUAAGUGAUGCCCCCAAAGUUAUGUCAUAAAUUUGGAAAGAAGAUAAGGUCCCCUAACAGGGUCCAGUAUACUUUGUGCCAGACAAGGACAUCUUUCUAGGCAAAUUCAUCUUACAGAAAGUCAACUUGACUGAAAAUUUUAGGCAAGAGUACCCUUUUACAAGAAAAAAUACUGCUAAGUAUUCCUCCAGGAAGAAAUUCCAUUUAACAAAGAAUGAGGAGCAUGGGGAAUAAUACUAUCUCCCAAACUAAAAAUGUAUUAUUGGUAGUGUCAUAGAUUCAUAUAAUGCCUUUUCUAAGAGGCUAAUUGGGAUAACACUGUGCUUCAUUCUACUUUAAAAAUUCUGAGGAAAUGGGAUUAUCCUCUUAAAGAGCUAAAAAGCAUUCUUAAGGUCAGGGAGGAAAGGUGUCACCUAAAGUGAAAAUUUUUAGCAAAGCAUAAUCUUUCUCAAAUUUGAUAAAGAUAUCGGAGACAUUGAUUAUGAUAUAACUAGGAUGGAAUUGGCUCAGAAAUGUUAAUAACCAACCAACCUUUUUUUUUUUUUUUUUUUUUUGAGACGCAGUCUCGCUCUGUCGCCCAGGCUUGAGUGCAGUGGUGCGAUCUUGGCUCGGCUCACUGAAAGCUCCACCUCCUGGGUUCAUGCCAUUCUCCUGCCUCAGCCUCCCGAGUAGCUGGGACUACAGGCGUCCACCACCACGCCCAGCUAAUAUUUUCUUUUUUUGUAUUUUUAGUAGAGACGGGGUUUCACCAUGUUAGCCAGGAUGGUCUCGAUCUCCUGACCUCGUGAUCUGCCUGUCUCGGCCACCCAAAGUACUGGGAUUACAGGCGUGAACCACUGCACCCGGCCCAAACAAAACAUUAUUACAAAUUACACUAUCUGAAACAUAUAAGGCAACAGAAUACAUCAUAAAGAUUUAGACAAAGCAUAAGCUUUCUUAUUAGUUUUAUUGUUUUGUUUUGUUCUGUCUUUUGGGUUUGUUUUGUUUUUAAUGCCAUGUUUGUAUUCUAUAUAUCUUAUUGUUAAUUAGGAGUGAACUGUUGGUAUUAAUUCUGCUCUUUUAUAGUAGUUACCUUUUAACUUAACACUUAGUUAAGGAUCCCCGAAGUGUCCAAAUAAGAGUACUUAUGAAUAUUAAAUAAUUUUAAAUUAAUAACAAUAAAUUAUUUUAAAAGUGUAGAUUUACAUUUUUAUUUGAAUUAUUGUCUUUAUUGCUCUUCUUAAUUUACCAUUUGCGUGUGGUUCAGCAUUCUUCCCAUUCUCCCUAAAAUCCAGUAUCCUUAGAGAAAAUGUUUCACUUCUUCAGGUGCUUGUAGACAUGGAAGAAGGCCUCACCUUCUCCAUGGCUGACAACCGAGAAGGCUGGUCUGACUUGGAAGAAGCUGUGUGGCCAACAGCCAAUUGGCUGUAUCACAUGGUAACUGUUUGAUUAUGCAUAUGGUUUAAAUCUCCCUUUGCCUCAGUUUCCUCAUUUGUAAAAUGUGGAACAAAAUGUGCUAUCCUCAAAACUUUGUUUAAGGAUUAAAUGAGCUAUUCAGCAUAAAGCACAGGGCUGGAAAAGUGACAAACUGCGGUAAAAAUUAGCCAUUCUUAAUCUAAUGCAAAGAAUUUCCACUUCUAUACCAUUAAGUUCUUUAUUCACCUAUACUGGGGUUAUCACAGCAGAAAGAAGUAGGUCAUCCGAGAGGUGGGAAUUGGUUCAGGAUGAGAUUUACCUUGGAAGAGGUAAAAUGUUUUAAAAUACCAUGACUUAAGUGUACAGGUUGCCUUAUUUCCCUUUCACUGACAUCAUGCCUCUAGGAUAUUUUUUCUUUUUUGGGGGGAUGCUUUAUUAUACUUGUUAGCCACUUGGUUGCUGAAAAGGCACUGAAAACUCAGAGUCUAUCCUCUUUUCACCCUGGUUGACCUUUGGAAUGCUAUUGUCAGCCAAGAUGACAUUGAUAUCUUCAGUCUCCCCCUAGCUUGAAUUCUUUAGGUCAGAGUCCGCUCAGAUUGUCUCCUGAUGUCAUUCCAAGUGUCUGAUGGCCGUCUAUGGCAACUGGGUUGGGCAAAAGCCUGCUGGGAAGGGGUAGCCCACAGAAUGCCUAAUGGAGCGUUCUGUUCAAGAGGACCUAGAAGUAGUUCUGUUAGACAUAUGAUCAACACUACAGCUGUGUUAGGGGACUGUACCAUUUCUUGAAAAACAGAAGCAUAGUCAUUUUGCAUUUUUGGUUCUAAUAAAGUCCCACCUGAGAUGUUUAUGAUUUAUACUGAUUUUAUGAUUAAGUAUGUAUUACAGAAAAAAACAGACUUAGAGAAUGUCAAUAAAAAUUUUAUAUCUGAUAUUCACGCUAACACUAGUUAUUAAGUGAAGACCCCAAGUUAAGACAGAAGAGUUUAGAAAAGAAGGAAAAGAGCUACCGCAUGGCAAAAUGUACAUUAUUCUAUCUUUCUAGGUAUUUUUCUUUUUCUUUCUUUUCUUUUUUUUUUUUAUGGAGUCUUGCUCUGUUGCCCAGGCUGGAGUGCAGUGGUGUGAUCUUGGCUCACUGCAACCUCUGCCUCCCAUAGAGAUGGGGUUUCAACAUGUUGGCCAGGUUGGUCUUGAACUCCUGACCUGAGGUAAUCCGCCCACUUUGGCCUCCCAAAGUGCUGGGAUUACAGGCUUGAGCUACUGUACCAAGCCAUUUCUAGGUAAUUUUUUAAAUGACUAUGUUCUACUUAUCUGGAUCUUACAAAAUUAUUUAUAAAAUAUUUUAUUUAUAAUCCUAAAUUUUAAACCAAGCAAUAUAAUAGAAAAUGUUAUGUUUUCAAGAAGGUAAGAUCAUGCAUAGAUCUAUAUGCUUUCAAUACGUAAUUUUAUAGAAAUUGUGGAACAAGGAGGCACAUAAUUAUAUCAAUAUUCUAAUUUCUUAGGAAGAAACAGAAUUUUCACUGGGAGGAGUUUCUAAAUUAUUUUGUAAUAUGGUGAGAAUUAAAAGUAAAACUCAAUAAAACUUUUAAAUUUAAGUGAGUGAUUAAAACCAGUUUGUUUCACCAAAGUACUGAUUGAGUCAAAGACUCAAACAAAAGGCCAGAUUUCCUACGGACUAUUACUUAUUUAUUCAUUUAUACUAAAUGUGUAGUUAAAUCUUUUAAAUCAGUAAUGUUCUUAGUCAUAAUACAAUGAUAUCUGGAGUAUAUAUGCAAAAAUAAUACUAUCUUAUUAGAAUGUGGGUUGAAAUGAAUAUUUGAAGUACCUAACAUUUAAUGGCCACAUACUAUUUGUCAGGCUCUGUAUUAAUUGCUUUAUAAACUUUUGUUUCCUUUUAUUCAAAGAACAACCUUUUAGACAUGUACUAUUAUUGUCCCCAUUUUAAGAUUUUACACACUAAAGCUGUGAGUGCUGACAUGACCUGCCCAGGGCCACAUAGUUCCUAAGUGCCAAACGACAUAAAACCAAUGUGUUUGUUUCCAAUACUCUACCCUUAGCUAUGAUGCUAUACUGCUUCCUUGUAUUCAUAACGUUUGUUCACUUAUAGUGAUAAUAUAAUAGAUAUUUUUGUCCCACCAGAAAAUAUUUCAGAAAUACAUAUCUAAAGGCAUGUCAUCCUCUUUAAGGUAGACACUUUAGAAGACUAUUCAUUUAUUUCAGUAAUGUUGUCUUUGCUCAAGUCUAUUUAGAAAUCUCCUCAGGGAUUUGCUACACAGUCUUAAAACUGGCCUGAUUGUUGGCAAAUCCUUAUCAUUAAGGAUGAAUUUUUUCCAAAAGUAAAUCCAAGCCAAAUGUAGUAAACAGGAUGAAAACUAAGAUUUGAGUAUAAAGCAUUAGAUUAUUUGAUAUUUGUCUCAUAAAUUGACACUAAUUGAAGAUAUAAAAGAGGAAUUUCAAAGUAUUUUUGAUAUGAUUUUAUAACCUUUAAGGAGACAGUUUUGACAAGUAACACUCGUAAAAGGUCUGGUAUUUUUUUAAAAAAGUCAUUUUCACUAAAUUAAUAGUUAUAGAUCAUGUAUAAACAGCAUGGGAAAUGUUCUUUUCAAAGAGUAUAAAAUGGGCAGCGGAGGGUAACUAGGAAACUCUGGAGCAGAAUCCACGUUUAGACACUAAAUAAUUGUUUUGACCUUAAUUUUCUAAAUGCCCUUUUUGUAAAAUGGGGAAGGUGGCAGGAACUACCCAUGAUAAUGAUUUUGCCGAGAGAAGCACAUGAAAUUGUACUUCUGUGGCCACUUAGUGCCUCGCAUAUAGAAAAUUCUCAAUAAAUGUUAGCUAUUAUAUACCAUUUCACUUUCAAGAAAUACCCCAUAUUCCUGGAAAACAUCUCAAUGUUGUAGUUAUGUAAUGAUAUUUUAAAAGAUGUUUUCUUUUCUGUCAGUUUCAUGCUUCCAAACAGUUAUUUUAUGUAAAGUAUUUGAUAUAUAAAGUAAAUAUAAACAUUUAUGGUCGUAUGUUUAUUCAGUUAAUAUGUAUUAUAUCAAGAAGUCUUACAUGUUGGACUGCUAACUAUAUUAUCCUUGUCAGUGUUCUAUAUAAUAUUGUCUUUAGAUAAACUUUUUUGGGGUAUUCUUAUUGGAUUUCAUCAGACUUAUGAAAGUAAUGACAUACCCAUUUGCCCAGAAUGAUGCUCCAAGAUUUUAUUUUUUAGUUACCUCAGACAUCUUCUAAAUUGUUUAUUCAUUAUAUAAUCUUAAAUUUAAGGGAACUGAGCAUAAAUAUGUUGAAUUAGUGGCUUCCUAUUAGAUCCCAGUGAACUCCUCUUAAAACAGGGCUCUUAUCUGUGUAGCAUAUGCGCAGUUGUGAUGUUGUGAAAGUUUGUCUUUACAUCACUCUCUUCCCUAUACUCACCUUCAGCAGGCCCUGCUUUCACUUUGGCAUGCUCCACUCACCCAGCAGCAAUUUUUACAAUCAGUAAUAGCUCUUUCACGAGUGCUUCUUUCUCCUCUGGGCCUUCCACUGAUGCGACCUACAAAGUCCUUUCAUCCCUCAGCCGCCCCUUUAUGUCCGCGGAAUUCUUUCCAACUAUGUUCUAUCAGAGGAGCCGGCCACUACAGCCGCCUAAUCCAUGACACGGUAUCAUUGUGCAAUCACUUUAAAUGAACCUCUCUUCAAAAGUUUUCUGAAAAGAAUUCAUAAUCCAAAGGAGUAUCCAUGCUUCCACAGAUACCCUGCUGUGUUGGUCAGGUGGUGUUUUAGGGAGCACUUUCAGUAUGUCUCAGGUCCCUCCCACCAGCAGCCACUUCAUUUGUCCACACAGAUCUAAGCCUUGGAUGCAAGCAAAUGGGAAACCUGGCCCUUACUUGAGGAAGCAAUUUUGUUUUUGAAAAUGUUGGGAUUGGAAGAUGAACUCUCUAUCAGCAAAAUAUUAAGAUACUCCUUGAAAAUUUAUAUACUUAAAAAAUUGUACAUUGCAUUACCUGUUCCCCUGGUCUCUUUUUCUAUUCCCUCUUUGCAAUAUGAGGCAGGCAGCCACUGCGUGUCCCUUGUACCAUAGUGACUAUGUUGUCACUCAGACUUACCCUGUGUGCUCUCCCUUCUGCCCCACCAAAGCCACCAGAGGUGUAAUUAGUGAUUAUUUAUCCAGAAAUGUCUUGAACAGGGUUUAAGAACUCUUUGAAGAGAAUAUGUACCACUUGUUGGAUGAAAGAGAGAAUUUGAAACGGUUGGGGAGAGGUUUAGGGACAGAGGGCAAAUUUCAUUCUGCCUUCUAUCUCCUCUAUUAAAUCACAGAUAAAGCAUCUUCCUAUGUGCAAAGACAGGGUACAUAAACAAAUAUUUCCCAACUUAGUGUAGUCUUAAAUCUUUAAAUAAAGAGUAUCCAUAUCAAAUGGAAUGCAAUUUUAUAUUAAAAAUCAUCACUCAAGAUUCAAAAGGAAGAAAUAAGAUUCUAAGUAAAAGAUUUUGAACACUACUAAAGUAAGAAACAUUCUACAACUUUCUUAUUCCUUUUGACCCCUUUAGCAAAGGCUAAAUAGCUAGCCAACAGAUUUCCUCCCAACUAUUCCAUUUAACUUCCUUUCUUCCUUCCAUCUGUCAUUCAUUCAUUCUUUCCUUCCUUCCUUCAUCUUUUCUGCUUCCUCUUUUCAUUUUCAAGUUGUAAAUUCUUUAGUAUCAGUUGUGAACUCAGUAAAGCUACACACACACACACACACACACGCACAACUGGUUAUUAACAGGAUUUUUCCUUUGCGUUGGAAAAUUACAUUUUCUGUUUCAGAACCAUAGGGUAUUAUUCUUUUUUGAUUUAUCAGAAUCACUUCAAAAUAAAAUACCUUCACUAAAGGAGCUUAUUUCUAAACAAUUGAUGAUGCAUGUUAUAGAUAAUAUGGUCAUAGAAUAACUUCUAUGAUUAUUUUUUGUUAUUAAUCACUGUAAUUACUCUAUGAUUGCAAUGAUGAUUAACUUACAAUGAAUAAGGUCUGUGCUUGUGUUGGUUAUAUAGUAUUUGUGAAGGAUUUAUGUUCAUGCAUCCACACAGUCUCAUCUCAUCCUUACGUAGCCGUGAGAUUCUAGUCUGUGUAGCCUACGGCCGCAAAAUAAACUCACCCACAGGAGAAUAAAGCCUAUGGUUUCUCUCACAUUAUCAGUGGGCUAUAAGCUCUUAAACUCCACAGGUCAGUGAUGAUUAACUGAGCAUUCUAAAACUUGGUGAAUGUGUAUGCUCUACACUCUCAUACGUUCCAUAAUAAGCACUGUCUGUAUUGUUUGAAUGACUGUCCUGAAGAGUUCGCUCAAGCCGUUUUAUCACAUUUCAAGCUGUAUUAUUUAGCAUCUUAAACUUAAGAAAAACUUAAGAAUGAUUUUUUUUCUGGCUUUUCACUAGUAUUUGAUGACACUUAUUUUCCAGUCUACAUAAGAUAAUUAAAAUAAAUGAACUACUCAACACAGUAGUGUUUAAUUAUAGCAGACAAUACAUUUUAAAAGGUAAAGUCUAUACUUGUGUGCAUAUGCUCCCUUUCAUCUUUUGGGACUUGGGAUCACUAAAUGUUAGUUUUCCUGUUACUGUAGAGCAGGAGAACUGAUCCUCUUCACAAAAGAGGGCUCCUUGUGAGGAUGUUAACAGUCUAGCUCAAAGAACCAAAGUGCCUCAGAAUCACCCAGGUGCAUGUUAAAAUCCAGAUUCAUGGGCCCCACCUCAGGCCCACUUAGCUGCAAUCUCAGGAAUCUGCAUUAUAACAGGCUCCUCAGGUGGUUCUUCCAUAGCACUUAUUUGCAUGCUACUCUCUUAAGGUGAGGGGAAGCAUAAGAUCCACAGGUCCCUCUAAUGCCAUAAUUUUUUUUUCUCUCCGUUUGUUAUUCACUCCUGUUCUCUCCACUAAUGUUCACAAAUUUUGUGGAACUUUUAAAGUCAUGAGAACCUUUCAAGAUAGUAAGAUGAAUCUUGAUUCAAAAUUGUAAACAAGAAAAAAAGACAUGCCACAAAUAUUCUGCCUGUUGAAAUUAGAAAACCAGUUAAGCAAUAUGGAAACCUAAUUAUCUCAAAUUUCUGUACAAUUCUUCAUCUUUACUUAAUUGAGGGAUAGCCAUUAUCUUUUCUUGGAUGGAAUCGGUUCAUUGGGUCCUGAUACCUCUGCAAAACCUGUAAAAUGGGCUUCAGAUCCAGGGACCUCUACCAUUGGUGAUAAGUGACUCCCAAACAUUUUCAUCCUUCAGUGACUGCCACCUGCUGUGAGCCUAGACUCCAGGAAAAUAGGACUGGCACUGGUCAUAGUCACUUGAGGAAUGUGGCUUCUCUGUAAAGAGAUUUUCAAUCAAUGCAGAUGUUCCUUGUGACCUCAGUAAUCACCUCCAUCUGCCAAGCAGUCAUAAAGGGCCUGCACAUCUUUGCCAACCUUGUCAACAGAGUGAUCCAUAUCUUAGGUCUUUAACCUCUUUUGUAUUAAGAUUUUUUAAAAAAUACAUUAAUCAUGUUUUAAUUCUGUCCUCAUGAACAUAAAAAUAGCAAUAAUAAAUGAUUAUUACUAUUGCAAAAGUAUUGCUUUAGUUUACAAGUUUUCCUUAAAAAUAUUGAACUCCCCAGCUGUAUUUAUCCAUUCUUUCAUUCCAUUUAUUCAUCAUACAUAACCUAAAUACCUAUAUGUAGCAGACAUAUUGUACUAGGAUUCAGAUAUUUUUAACACUGUUUCUUGUUCCAACAUUUUCCUGACAUAAAUAAAUAUAUUAUCAUGCUGGCUUACAGCAUUGUGUGUGGAGAAUAUCUUUCUAAGUUUAAAAAUUUUCCUGUCAUUCUAUAAAAUUAAAAAUAUUAAAUGACCAUUCAGUACUUUUUUGUCAAUUCAGCCUUAUAGUGCAUACUGAAAAGUUCAAAGCUUCGUGUCAUAACAUAAUUUUGAGAAUGAGACUUUUUGUAUUAUGUUACUAGGGUCCCCAAGUGGAAAAAAUAAGGCCUGCUGCUCUGGAGUAUAUUGCAAAGUGAUUUUGUUUUCCCCACUGACUUCACAGGCUAGAUAGUGUGUCAGUUUUAAUUACUUGGAAUGCUUACAUGGUGGGCUACUUAUAGCAAUAGGGAUAGGGUGGGGCCCAGUCAUUGCAGACAGGAACCCACCAAUAAUAUUCCAGAUUCCUUUUGAGACUUCCUCACAUGAAACAGAGGAAAUAUCUUUCAUUGGAUAACUAAAACUUACUUUCCUAUGAUUUGUACAAAAUGGCCAAAAAGGCCCAUCCAUUCAUUAGCCUCACAGAGGUUAAGUGACUUGUUUCCAGUCACAAAAUGACUUUGCAGUGAAACAGAGAGUCUAACUCAAAUCUUCCUACUUCUGCUCUGGUGCUCUUUGAAGAACACUCUUUAACUCUAAUGAGGAAGCCUCUAUGAUCCUUCAAAAGCAGAUACCGGACAAGUCACUUAUUUUCACUAAAACCCCUUUGGGAUGCAGGGCAAUGAUUAAACUUGCCUAUCUUUCAAAUUGCUAGAAAUGGAUGCUAUUUACUAUUUUGCUUGCAAUUGAUUUGCAUACUGUUAUUACAUAUUGUUAAAUGGUUUGUUGAUUAAUGACUAAUGUUGAUUUGGACUAAAUGUAAUGGAAUAAGCAAAUAUAUUUUCAAAUUUAGAUAUACAAUUUAGUUGCUAAAUGGUGUUGUUAGUCAUAAAAAUGUUGAUUAUUUUAGAUCAAUCCCUUGCAGGGGAACCCUAGCCACAAUUUCCCUCCAUAUUUUUUCUCAAUAUUUUAAGCUUUACCCCAUCUCUUUUUCUUAUUAAUUUACAUGUCUGGGUUUUAAAGCUAAUACUUCUUAUAAGCAAGUACUGUUCCAAAGCCCAGGACUAAAAUAAAUUCUUAUAAAUUCAGAAUGUGGUAGAUUUCAACUAAACAGUUUCUUUUCUGGAGAUCCAGAAGACAAAUAUUUGGCUUGAAUAUUAAUAUUUUCAUGACCUUGACCAGAUCAAUAUAUUGCACAAAUAUUAUCAACAAAUUAUAUAAAUAGACCAUAUUUACUAAUAUAAUUAAUAAUUUUGGAAUUAAUAUAAGAUAGUUAUAUAUACACACACAUAAGCUAGUCAGUUGUUAAGUCAGUUAUAUGAACUAUAUAAUGUAUUAUGCACUUGAUAUAUACAUAUACUUAUGUGUUAGUAUAUUUUGUAUUUUUAAUUACUCCCAAUCUUAAAAAAAACCCUAUAUUCCAACUUAUAUUUUUGAUUUCUACAUUUAUCUUCUAAAUAUAUGUAUUACCUUUGAUAAUUUUUUUAUUUCUGCUAUUUCAUAUACAUUCAUAAAUAUUUCCAGUUUGGAAAUCCAUUUAAAUGGUAAGACAAAUAAAAAACUUUUGUACCAUAGAUGUUUUAGUACAUUUAUAGUCUUUGUAUUUUUUAGAACUACAUUUUAAUAUGCUGUGAUAAAAAUGUGUAUUUCUCUAACAAGGUAUUAAAUUUGGUGACUGAAAAGGGUUCUUCAAAGGAAUAUAAUUCACAUUAAUUUUCCAUGUGAUCAUUGUUACUUAUAGUUUACUAGUCAACAUGCUUAAAGUCUAAUUAGAAAAAAAAUCCCUGGAUAUUAAGUUGGGAAACAGACCCAAGUCUGUAUCUACAUAAAGGUCACCACCUUGGUGACCUUUGGUAAAUUUCAUUUUUGUUCUUUGAUUUCAUUUUCUUUGAAAAUGAGAAGCUGAAAGCUUUAAAGCUUUCUUCCCAUAACUCCGAAAUAGUUUAUGAGCUCAAAAGAAAAUAUGACUAAAAGAAAUGUGUGGGCAUCAUUACCUGGCUGCCCAGUAUUUUCAUGGACACAGACUUGUAACAUAUUCUGAAAGUUCCUUUAAGGAAAAUAACUCUAUAGAUAUGGACAGCAAGGGAAAAGGGAUCAAUAAGAAAAAGAAAGGGAAAUGAGUUAAUGACAAAGGAGGAAUGGUAGGCAGUAGAAAUGAUUCCCCACUUACUUGUUUUUUAUCUAUAGUCUAGUUAUUCCUAUUUGAAAACCUACUGGCACCAGGUAUUAUCAACAGGGAUGAGUAAUAUGUAAUUUUUAUCUUUACUGGGUUACAUUUGGCACAUGGACAGUUGACAGCUGUCAGUCAGGUGGCUGGUCAAUGAGGAGAUACAUAUAAAGCUGCC
rnacentral:lncRNA from 1 species